rnacentral:lncRNA from 1 species
GAAAAGGGAGAACUGGAGAAGAGUGAGUGAAUGCUGGGAGCAUCCAGAGUCCUUCACCUUGACUGAGACGACACACUUCUGAACUGAGUUUAUCAAUCAGUUAUGGCCCAGGACUUAGGGUUAAAAUUUGGAACACAUACCCUUGGGAAUUCUUCCUAAUGACAUGAAACUCUUAUUAGUCCUUAUGAGAACUUACCUUCCCAAAUCCUCUUAUACAGUGAUGAUAGAACAGAGCCUAUUGUCAGCAAUGUCUGCUGGAGUACCUUUUGUCUCAUAGCUUGUUGUAAUCACUUCCAGACCAGGGUAUAUUUAUGAUUUACAUAAUGUUAUAGAAGAAGAGGUCUUAAGGGUUUUUUUCCUCCAAACCUUUCUGAAUUAUUAU